AGAAGUAACGAUUCAUUGUUGCUUGGACGUGGCAAGGCAAGCCAUGACGUGAUUUUGUGUGACUGACAGAACGAUUAGAAUUAAUAAAAAAAAAUUAAUUAAAACUACCAAAAAUACAUAUUCCAUGAAUUUAUUGCAUUGCAAUAAACUCGAAAACGUGCUGUGUAUAGAGAUAAUAGAACAACGAAAGUUCUUUUGAAUUUGGGUUUUUCGUUUCCUAGAUUGCCAAGAAAUAAAGUGCCCGAGAACCCCCAGAUCAAUUCAAAUCAAUUUUGUCACAAUCUACUACCACCAUCAUCUACUAUUACACACGUCAGAGAUAUUGGCAGCAAAAAUAAGUUGUGAAUAACAAUAUAUGGAAUUUUUUCUUCUUCUUCUACUCAACAACCUUAUGAACGUCGUCCUCUCACAACAAUUUACUUAGGCAGCAAAGCAACAACAAUAUACGUCAUCAUCUGUGCAAGGUCUAAUAAAUUAAGCUGAAGAGGAAUUCAACAUAAAACACGUCCAAAAAUAAAUAUCAACGCAACAAUAACAACAACAACAGCACCUACAAAAUUAUCAUCUUAAGAGCAUUUUCAACAAAACACAGAAAACAGCAACAACACCAACAAAAAAAAACCUUGUAAUUGAAAAAUAAAAAGGGAAAGCAACUACUCUAAAAUGUAACCAGAUACAACGAUAGCAUAACAACAACAACAACACCAAACAUUAGAAAUUGCAGCAGUUGAAAAAUAUUGCUGCCUGCCAAACACAACAUCGCAGUACACAUCCAUAGCGAACCAACAAUCUAGAAGGAAAAAGACUCUGUUUAAAACACAACUCUCAAAUCAAAGAAUACUCUACGAGAGCAAAUAUCUACCACACACAAGAGCGAAAGACGUAUAGUUCAUCGAGGCUCGCUCAGCAACAGCAAAUUAUCACACACAGAACAAAGGGCAAUCAACGUGAGAAGAAGCUGCAUCCCUCCCUCCCUCCUCUAGCCACUCUUUAAGAGAUGUAAGGGAUACACCAACAAAGGUCAUUCCGCAAGCGAGAAUACAAUAUACUACUACUACUCCUACUAUUAUACGUCCACCAAAAAGGAAGAGAGAGAGAGAGAGUAUAGUGCGCGCCAUUCACACACAAAAAGAGCACAACUCACUUCCACUCACAUUUUUUCACAUCAUCAUCAGGAGCAGAGAGAAAAGAAGAAACCAACUGGAUUUUCUUCAUCAUCUGCUUCCUUGGAAAGAAUAUAAAUAAAUAAUUAUAGAAAGAAUCACAGUGUCAAACACAAAAAUUUUAAGAAAAAAGACGAAUUCUAGACUUUAGACGAUUUUACAAAAACAAAACAAAGCUCCCGCCCUAAAAAGAACAUAACACCACAGUCCAGAAGCUAAAGAAGAAAUUUUACUUCCACGUUAAAGAAAAACGCAAGCAAGCAAACUAAAAUCUUCCCUCUAAAAAAAA
rnacentral:sRNA from 1 species